rnacentral:rRNA from 1 species
GAUGAACGCUGGCGGCGUGCCUAAUACAUGCAAGUCGAGCGAAUGGAUUAAGAGCUUGCUCUUAUGAAGUUAGCGGCGGACGGGUGAGUAACACGUGGGUAACCUGCCCAUAAGACUGGGAUAACUCCGGGAAACCGGGGCUAAUACCGGAUAACAUUUUGAACCGCAUGGUUCGAAAUUGAAAGGCGGCUUCGGCUGUCACUUAUGGAUGGACCCGCGUCGCAUUAGCUUGUUGGUGAGGUAACGGCGCACCAAGGCAACGAUGCGUAGCCUACGUGAGAGGGUGAUGGGCCACAAUGGGACUGAGACACGUCCCAGACUCCUACGAGAGGCAGCAGUAGGGAAUCUUCCGCAAUGGACGAAAGUCUGACGGAGCAACGCCGCGUGAGUGAUGAAGGCUUUCGGGUCGUAAAACUCUGUUGUUAGGGAAGAACAAGUGCUAGUUGAAUAAGCUGGCACCUUGACGGUACCUAACCAGAAAGCCACGGCUAACUACGUGCCAGCCGCCGCAGUAA